rnacentral:rRNA from 1 species
CCUACGGGAGGCUGCAGUAAGGAAUAUUGGUCAAUGGACGAAAGUCUGAACCAGCCAUCCCGCGUGCAGGAUGAAAGCCCUAUGGGUUGUAAACUGCUUUUAGCAGAGAAGAAAAGCUUUCAUUAAUGAGAGUCUGACGGUAUCUGCAGAAUAAGCACCGGCUAACUCCGUGCCAGCAGCCGCGGUCAUACGGAGGGUGCGAGCGUUACCCGGAAUUACUGGGUUGUAGGGGUAGGAUGAAGGAGUAUUAGAAAGCUUGUCGCUUAACGAUGAAAUUGCCAAUGAUACUGGUACUCUGGAAUUGGGUUGAGGUUAGCGGAAUGUGACAUGUAGCGGUGAAAUGCAUAGAUAUGUCAUGGAACACCAAUUGCGAAGGCAGCUAACUGGGCCUUGAUUGACGCUGAGGCACGAAAGCGUGGGUAGCGAACAGGAUUAGAUACCCUUGUAGUC